GAGUCGGUAGCUCAGUUGGUAGAGCAACGCCCUUUUAAGGCGUGGGUCGUGGGUUCGAUCCCCUCCCGACUCA
rnacentral:tRNA from 2 species